AUACGGAGGGUGCAAGCGUUAUUCGGAAUCACUGGGCGUAAAGGACGCGUAGGCGGGUUGGCAAGUCAGAUGUGAAAUCCUACAGCUUAACUGUAGAACUGCAUUUGAAACUGCUAACCUAGAGUAUGUGAGGGGGAGAUGGAAUUAGUGGUGUAGGGGUAAAAUCCGUAGAUAUCACUAGGAAUACCGAAAGCGAAGGCGAUUUCCUGGAACAUAACUGACGCUAAGGCGUGAAAGCGUGGGGAGCAAACAGAAUUAGAUACCCUAGUAGUCC
rnacentral:rRNA from 1 species